UAAUGAAAAUCAUACGAUGAA
rnacentral:piRNA from 1 species